rnacentral:rRNA from 1 species
CAGCCGCCGCGGGAAAACGUAGGGUGCGAGCGUUAAUCGGAAUUACUGGGCGUAAAGCGUGCGCAGGCGGUUUUGUAAGACAGGCGUGAAAUCCCCGGGCUCAACCUGGGAAUGGCGCUUGUGACUGCAAAGCUAGAGUGCGGCAGAGGGGGAUGGAAUUCCGCGUGUAGCAGUGAAAUGCGUAGAUAUGCGGAGGAACACCGAUGGCGAAGGCAAUCCCCUGGGCCUGCACUGACGCUCAUGCACGAAAGCGUGGGGAGCAAACAGGAUUAGAUACCCCCGUAGUCCCUGUCUCUUAUAC